AGAGUUUGAUCAUGGCUCAGGACGAACGCUGGCGGCGUGCUUAACACAUGCAAGUCGAACGCGCUUGUUGCUUUCGGGUGGCGGGUGAGUGGCGAACGGGUGAGUAACACGUGGGUGACCUGCCUUCAGCUUCGGGAUAAGCCUUGGAAACGGGGUCUAAUACCGGAUGGGACCUGUGGCCGCAUGGUUGUGGGUGGAAA
rnacentral:rRNA from 1 species